rnacentral:rRNA from 1 species
UAAGGAAUAUUGGUCAAUGGACGCAAGUCUGAACCAGCCAUGCCGCGUGCAGGAAGACGGCCCUAUGGGUUGUAAACUGCUUUUCCAGGGGGAGAAUUUUUCUGUCGUGACAGGAAUUGACGGUACCCUGGGAAUAAGCAUCGGCUAACUACGUGCCAGCAGCCGCGGUAAUACGGAGGAUGCGAGCGUUAUCCGGAUUUAUUGGGUUUAAAGGGUGCGUAGGCGGAUAGAUAAGUCAGUGGUGAAAACCUGCAGCUUAACUGUAGACUGCCGUUGAUACUGUCAGUCUUGAGUAUGGUCAAGGUAGGCGGAAUGUGUAAUGUAGCGGUGAAAUGCGUAGAUAUUACACAGAACACCGAUUGCGAAGGCAGCUUGCUGGGCCAUUACUGACGCUGAUGCACGAAAGCGUGGGGAUCGAACA